AAAUUAAAUGAAUACUUAAGUCUGAAAAGUCAAAACACCUCCAAUCCAUAUAAAACUCCAGCAUGUUUUUCUGGCCCAUCUUUCAGAAAAUAGACAUCCCUCAUCUUUUGAAAUGCGUGCCAUGUCAACAAGCUGUCUGAUCCGGCUUGGUGGCAUUUGCCAACAGCUCGAUUUACGUCGAGUGUCCGAGCUACCCGAUCCAAACCACCAUAUAAGCUAUCACAGAACUUUAUCAUGUGUUUGAGGUCGUAAACUCUAUUCCCGAAGAACACCCUUAACAAUUUCAAAAAAUCCAAUAAACUACAGGGCAAAACUCGACGUGUCAAAAUCUUCACUAAAUACCCGAAAUCGUAGGCGCUAUGAAACGUAAUCCAACUCACUGA
rnacentral:misc_RNA from 1 species